CAGCCGCCGCGGGAAUACGUAGGUGGCAAGCGUUGUCCGGAAUUAUUGGGCGUAAAGGGUGCGUAGGUGGCGGUGUAAGUCUAACGUGAAAUCUCGGGGCUCAACCUCGAAAUUGCGUCGGAUACUGCAUUGCUAGAGGAUUGUAGAGGAGAGUGGAAUUCUUGGUGUAGCAGUGAAAUGCGUAGAUAUCAUGAGGAAGACCAGUUGCGAAGGCGACUCUCUGGGCAAUUCCUGACACUGAGGCACGAAGGCUAGGGGAGCAAACGGGAUUAGAUACCCCAGUAGUCCCUGUCUCUUAUAC
rnacentral:rRNA from 1 species